rnacentral:rRNA from 1 species
AUUGAACGCUGGCGGCAUGCCUUACACAUGCAAGUCGAACGGCAGCACGGGAGCAAUCCUGGUGGCGAGUGGCGAACGGGUGAGUAAUAUAUCGGAACGUGCCCAGUCGUGGGGAUAACGUAGCGAAAGCUACGCUAAUACCGCAUACUAUCUAUGGAUGAAAGCGGGGGAUCGCAAGACCUCGCGCGAUUGGAGCGGCCGAUAUCAGAUUAGGUAGUUGGUGAGGUAAAGGCUCACCAAGCCGACGAUCUGUAGCUGGUCUGAGAGGACGACCAGCCACACUGGGACUGAGACACGGCCCAGACUCCUACGGGAGGCAGCAGUGGGGAAUUUUUGGACAAUGGGCGCAAGCCUGAUCCAGCAAUGCCGCGUGCAGGAUGAAGGCC